UGUAACCUAUUUUUGAUCAUUAUUCACUGUUAAUUACUUUUAAAAAUAUAUAUUUAGGAUAAAAUACUUUACAACCCUAUCUAUCUGUCCGUUCUGUGUAUUUAGGUCAGAUUCGCCACACCACUAGAUGGUGGUAAAACUCCAUGUCCAUGAUUUCUAACGCGUUAACACGUGAUUUACGUGUUAACACGCACUUACGCGUUAACACGUAGUGCGUGUUAACACGUGAUUUACGCGUUAACACGUAGUGCGUGUUAACACGUAUUUUAACAUGUUUUUGCCCUAAUGGCCUUCCAUAAAAAGGCGCCCUGCCCAUAGAAUAUCAUUCAAAAAAGGCGCCUGCAACUGCCAUAAACGCUUUUGGUGUGACUGGCCCCUUAAUAGGGAACUUAUCUACAAAAACAAACACUUGUUAUACUUUUAUGAAUUAUAAAGUUGUACAACACACAGCAAUUAGGAUUUAGACAAACAAAAAAAUCACAGAUAUUAAUUUUAUUGUUGUGUCUAAUAUAUAUAGAAACAACUUGUGUUGUAAAAGAAAAGAUGACAGCAUAUCUCUUUAUCACGUGCCAGAAUAGGCCCUGACUGCACGCGAGAACAUUUGAAUUACCUGGCACGAGGCCUCACACAUCAUACUUCAACUGACACAACGGUCUCGAUGGUAGGAAUAAGCAAAAGCUCAUUUAAAUUUCGUAAUUUUUUAUACACAUCCCGUUUAUUUUGUAGUUAAUUGUUAGAUAAGUUAGUAAUUUCGUCAAGUUUUUGUUACAGGGUAAGAUUUCGUUACCAUAUACAGUAAAUAUUGGUUCAAGAGCGCAGUUUGAUAACUCAUUCGAGGUUUGUAAAUGGUAAAUAACUUAUUCGAGGGGUUUCUGUUCCUGCAGUCUUUCAGCGGUGCUGGGGCGUAUGACGAUGCGGACAUGAACAGCACACUACAGUAUACCGCCACCUACUGUACUGUAGUACAAUAACGUGUAGGAUUGAAUACUGUGCCAAACGCAGUAAAAAAAAAUAGCCAUUUAAUUCAUUGUAAAAACAAUGGACAUGCCAGUUCAAGUAACUUGUGGGCUAAAUCACCAAAAUAAGUUUGUAGAUGUGGUUCAAUUAUUUUUAAUAACUGUGCAGCAUAAUGAAUCAGCCUGAAUGCAUGUAGCCUAUGAAUAUAUCGUUUAGACAUUAUUUUUAAACCUUUAUCUGGUGUAUGGUUAAACCUUAUGAUGGUAGCAAUUGAAUACAAAUCUUAAAUUGAAUCAAAUCUCUUAUAAUAAUACAUAAAAUCUCUGGGACGGUUGGGGGUACAUCUGGGUAACAUUUAAGCAGCUUAAUUUUUUUAUAUUCUUUUAUAUAUUUUGAUGUGUAGAUAUAGAUAUAUUUACUUUCUUUAUUUUGUUUUCUCAGCCUUUAAACAUCUAAACGUGUCCUCCAAAAAGGUAAGUUCAGCACCAGAUCAGCUUAUCUUAUACUGUAAUAUUGAUACUGGUUUGAGAAAAAACUAAGAUUUUCUCAAACUAAACCAAAGAAACUAAACCAGAAAAAACAUUGGGAAACAAUUUUAGCCUAAGGUUUGAGAAUAAAGCCAAUAGUCCUCUAUUAAGGCUAACUGUGUAUAUUGCCUUUGUGGACUGCAAGCUGAACUUACAGAUUUAUAUGGACUUUACUUACAGGUUUCCUGUGCUGUUUUGCUCCAUUUUACUGAACAAAAUAAGGCUGAGGUAGCACCAUCAUUGUGGUUAGAGUGAAAGAAUGUGGGUAUUGAGACCAAAAUAAACAAUGUGCCAUUCUGGACAAUAUAUGCUGUCAGAGUAGCCUAUUUUCUCACACAGGUAAAGCAUGCAAAGUAAUACCAAACUUCUUUUUAACCUCAACAAAUACUGUCAAGCCAAAUAUACAAUGUUUGUAUGAGGUACUGUGCAAAAGUCUUAGGCCAGCAUGCUACCAUUAAAUUUGUGGUUUUUGCAAUUGUGUAAUGAUCAUAUAUCACUAUUUCUCAGUCUCUUUAUUAGGAUACAACCAGAAAAUACAGGAAAUAUGUAUGUAGUAUUAAAAAAAGUAUAAAAGUUGAAGCUGAAGUGUCAAGUUUUUAGGGUAAACUCCCCUUCCACUUGAGCAAUAGCAGGCAACUGCAGAAUCUCUUAAAGGAAUAGUCUACUCAUUUUCAAUAUUAAAAUACAAACACAAAGAAUGGCCUCUCAGCUACCGUAGUUGCAACUCUUGCGUCAUCACAACAGGGUGUUCAAUGCAUCACCGUUUCUGUUUAAUAAACGUUGUGCAACGUUUCGUCGGGGCUGAACGCAGCCCUGUUGUGAAUCCGUUGUAAGAGGACGUCACUAGGUGACGUAUUUUACACGUGCAUUUAUAGUCCAUCAUGACCCUCUAUAAAAAAUCAUAAACCUUCUAUAAAGUCAUUGCGAAAUGCUGUGCGUACCCCUUGGUUAAUACUGCUAUAAUUAAUUUAAGUGCAAAAAGUAGUUUUUAAGAGGUUGUGAAUAGACGUCCACUGACGUCUUUUACACGUAUAGACUAGACUAGUAGGAAAAAAACAGAAUUAUCUUUAUGAAAUACACGAUUUGUAUACAAAGUAAAUAUAUUAAAUAAAUUAUAAUCACAAAGUGCCCAGUGUGAUUGCAAAGCCACAAUACAUUUUAGUCAUUAUUUCAACCUGCUUUAUUAUUAAAUGUAUGCAUAUAAAUGUAAAGAAAGUAUAUAUCCGGUUACCAUUUAGGUCUGAGUUGGAUGUAAUUUCAAAAACUGCGCUGCCAAGAUUGUUUUAACAAAAUAUUUUACAAAAUCACGCGAUAGGAUAGAUUUUCUCGCGAGAUAGUUGUCACGUCACGUGUUCUCCCGGAAGUACGUACGUGUGCAGCCAGCAAGCAACGAGGAAAGGAUGAAUUUACGAAGGAGUUGUGUCUAUAUAUAUAUUAUAAAAUCUACUAUUGGUUGAAGAUCAACACAAACCAAAUGAAGAUGUUGCAGAUUCUACAAACAAUAAAAAAGAAGAUAAAGUUUUGUGUCAAACACACUUGGAUGAGACGUGCCUGACUUUGUCUACCCUAGUUGUGAUGGCACACAUCAUGACAGUAAACAUCGGUAUCAAGAUGGUGUGAUUGAUCUAUAUCCUAGAAUAAGCUGUGACACUGAUGCUUUUUUUUGUGUAUUCCCACACUAUACAAACACAUUGCUUGGCUCCAAAUUGCAUACAGUUUCAUCUUUAUAAUGUCAUUCUCAUUUAUAGGUAAAAAUUUAUUCCAUGAGUCAGGGUUUUGCCUGAAUGUCAACAUAAUAUCCCAAAACUUUGACAUAAAAAGUGAUUUAUUUUAAUAUUUUACACUACUAUGUAUUUUUUUAAAUACAUUGUGCAUGUGUAUGUUUAUUGUACUUAAUGAAAUUACAUGCAAGAUGUAAUUUGUUUCGCAGGGUCACAUAAUGAACAGCCAUCUUACAGACAACCGAAA